AUGGUUAACCAACGAAAAAAGACAACCAGCGACAAAAAAACCUAAACCUAUUGCCCGCUCCCUCGCGCCCCUGUUGCUCCCUCCUCGAUCCCGAUCUGGAUCGAGGGGACGAGGAGCUCCUGCCUCCCCGACAGCCGGCCUCCUCCUCGCCCCGCCGCUGCGUCCGGCGCCGCCACGGCCUCUGGAACCAGGGAAGCCAUGGCCUGAGCUCGGCCUCGAGGUCCCCGCCGCUGUCUCCUGCAGCUUCUGCCCCGCCGCCUCGCCGUCGCACCAACCUUGGCGCCGCGCCGCCGCCGGCUCUGGUCGCCUCCACCUCUGCUCCAGGCAACCCUCGGUCGCCGGCUCGCUGGAGCACGACGGUAGAUGAUGGAUGGCCUGGUUGUGUGCGAUGGAUGCAGUUCUCACGCGCAAGCUAGGGUUGGAGCCGCCAGCUCUUCAUCCUGCCCGCUGGCGGCGACUCUUCCCGUCCCGCACUGCCGCUUCCCCGUUAUCACAGGGUACAUUUAUGUUUCAUGAUCUGUUCUGCAGAUUUUCAGAACACUGAGUGCAUAUCUUGCCUUGCAAUGCUGCUGAUUCGACAAUCGAACUGGAUUCAAACUGGACUUGCGACCAGAGCAACCCCAAGCAAGAUGAACUCGAUUGGAAGAUGUCUUCUAAACUCUGAAGGCAAGCACUCGGUCGACACUUUUGCUCCUGUAGAAGGCAUGCCAUUUGAUUCAUGCCAAGAAGCGUACGGACAGUAUAAGCUAUUUGCUUUGGAGGAUGGUUUUGGAAUUCAUCAUGGAAAGCCGAGAUGAGGGCAUGCACGUUACCAGUUGAUGCACAAAAUUGUGUGCUGGUGCUAGAUCAGUUACAUAGCGUCUUGCUUGAAAUUGUAGUACAACUAUAUUCUUGUCGUUUCCCCAGCCACGCCAUGAUGGUCUUGCGCUUGAAUUUUUUCCAUGCUUUGAAAUUGCUUGGUAUUUAUAUUGUAGCUAGGAUUGUCAUUGUCUUGUUUGGUUUUCGGUGUGCAGGUUAAGAGGGACAAUGAUAAUUCUUCUUCGUGCAAAACAGAAAAAAGGCGAGGAUGUGUCUCCUCCAUGCAAAGCAGGUUGGUAUGUGAGCAUAUUCAGCAACGAGCAAAAUCACCCUCUGUCUGCAAUUUGUGAAGAGAAGAGGCAGUGGAACUCACACAGUGAGAUCAAUCCAGUUCUUAUGAUUUUCAUCAAGAAUCUCAAAGCACCUCAUCCAUUUUUGCCAACAGAAACAAUGAAAAAACAAUUGGGGGCAUCUCGAGAUUGAAGAUUGUGAAAUUUACACAAGUGAGAUAUACAGAAAGUUUGAAGACGAGUUCUUCAAAUCAAUGUCCUUGGUUGUGUCUAGGUGCAUCAGUGAAACUGGAUGUGAAGUUAAGUGUGCACGUCCAGAAUAUUUUCAGGCAUAUGGGAAUGUUGUGCAGACAUUUUGUUGGUUUCAGACAAUUGAAAGCAGUGCUACAGUCCAAAUUUUGCCAAUAGAAAGGAGUUUAGGGAAGACGACAGAGGAGGAAUAUGAUGUUGCCCCAACCCCAGGUACUACCUUUACACCCGUAUCCACUUUUGGACAAAAUUGGGAUCUAGAGUUCAUGAAGAGCGCGACUGAAUUUAAAAAGGUCCGUGCGUAUUCUUGGUACCUCGAGGAUGAGAGCAAGCCACCCAAAAAAUGGCCAGAAGGAAGCACCAUAUGUGCAGGUGUGCUCAUGUGCGUUAGAAGGCGAGUUUGUGCUUCUAAUUUCCUAAACAUUCCUAUUACAAACAGAAAACAGCUAUGGUUGGUGAUAAUAAUUAUUGGUGAACAUUGUUAUUGGUAAACCUGCAUGCUGUCGAUCUGCCUCUUCUUCCUGUUGCAACUAUUGAUGGCCAUUAUUAUUGCAAUUUUAUCCUAAUUUAUGUUCAGCUAUUACCAGGUUCUUUGAUUGAAUCCUAAUUCAAACUUCUAACAUACGCAAUACUUUUUGUGCAAUUAUAAGAUGAUGCAUACUCUGACAGUGCUUUGGCCACAUAAAAGGUAAAUCCAUCAUUGUGGAGAUGUCAAAGUUGUCACAAAAACAAGCAUCUGAACUUUCUUUUUGGAAUGAAACAAAGAUGCAGACUAACCGUAUCAUGUUUUUUUGACAUCAACCAAUAUCAUGGGUUGGUUCAGGACUUCAGGUAUAUAUCACCAGUAUAACAAUCAAUUAACCAUAGCAAUUGUUACUUUUUUUAUCUACUCUCAAAUGCUUCUCUAUUUUAAAUACGUAUUAAAUGUUGUCACAAUCACCCUAUUUCCGCCGCACUGAGGGCUAUGGCAGGAAGGAGCCCACCGUCGGCAUCGCCCAUGGCCGAGAAGACCGAGGACGCCGUGGACCCAGCGCCCUCAAGUACGAUGGUGUUCUUUCUGUUAAGACUUAUGGUGAUGACUGAGGAGUUUUGAGAUUAAUCUUGAUCUUCAUAUGACCGUGACCGGGAGGCGAACCCGGUUGCGCUUAGAGACAAUUGAUUAAUGGAGAUCCUCCAGCCACCGAGCUCGAAAAGGAAACCCAGGCGAGAAAUCCACGCUUGUCCAUACCGCUUGCCGUUUAGGCCGAACAACUUCGUGAACUUCAACCCCAUCAUGUUGACAAGGACUCGGCGGAUGAUUCCUCAUUGACUUUCUACCAGCUGCGCCAUGACUGCGUCCACAGCAUCCCGACACCAUGUUCAAGACCAAGUUCUAACCCACAUAUCCAAUCUCCCUCCAUGGAUCUUGCCUCUCAUUGACCAAGAUCAACAAUUACACUCAAUUUCAGAUUUACAAAAGAGAUGGACCUAGAGCAAACAACCUGUGAGGCUUGGUUCGUGUACAUCAACAACGUUGUAUGAUGGUGAAGUUUCUUCACUUCCCCUGACCAGACGCUGCAUGCUCUGCUCACUGAAGGUGCCCGCUGUUUGUGUUUGGAUGUUGUUGCUGCCGUAUGUCAAGUUGAGGAGGCGCUCAUGAUUCUGAGCUUGGCUCUUCCUGACUAGCUCGUCACCAGGCUCACAACUGCGGAAUCAUAGGUGCGAAAUGCUUCAAGGUGUCCGCCAAAGCCCAUGUCAUUGAGCAGAAAGUUGCCUCGCUCAACCAAAUUGCACCUGUCAUUGAUGCACGGCGAGGGCACUCGGAAUCUGGUGUUUCUCCGUUGCGAAGCAUGCGAUGUUGAGAGAAAAGAGGGAGACUGCACCGGAGGAAAGCGAAGCAUGGUAGCAGGCACUUUUCUUUAGGCAUAGUUAACUAACAGCAAGGACAUUGCCAUAUAUGAAGUAUGAACAGGUACAGUAAUGAUUUCACAUAUGCACUUUCCCUACAACCUAUGUCGAGGGUACCUACUGUAAUGAUUUUGCAUAUGAACUUGCUAAAAAUAGUACUGCUACCUUGAGUUUGUCAAAGAAUAAUGCCACUAAAUUGUCAGCCAUUUAGGAUCUGUCAUCUUUUUCCCCACUAGGGCGCUUCCUUAAAAUUUAUUACUUUAGAGACAUGGGGAUCCUCAAGUUAACACACUUGAUUCUUACUGCUGCCUAUGCAUCCCUGAACUUCAGUUAAAUUUAUGAUUAUCUCGAUAUUUCCUAUACUUUAUCAAGUGUAGGGUUCUUAAAAUAAGGACAGACAUUUGUUUCACCUUUUGUAGUUCAUCAUAAUAGCAUAUGAUUUUAGAAAAUGGCAAAUUGCCAAGUACAAUUCUGAAGCGGAGAGUUACUUAUGUAUUUUUUUAUUCAUAAAUGACAUGAUCAAGGAGUCAGGUGUGAAAAUGCUUUAUAAAUCAGGUGAGCCAACAUGCUGAAAUUUUGUGGCAAUUAGUGUGGGAAAGAACUAUGUACUCUUGUUUAAAGUAGACUUCAUCGCCUUAUUGUUAGAGUCAGCUUCACCCCUCCCAUUGUUAUAUUCUUGACAUGAAUAUUAGCCCCCCCCAUUUAUAUUGUUGAAAAUGACAAUCGCUUGAUCUUUGAAUCAUGCAGCUGCCUAUCUAUAAAUCAUAAUUGUGACCAAA